rnacentral:rRNA from 1 species
UACGUAGGGUGCGAGCGUUGUCCGGAUUUAUUGGGCGUAAAGAGCUCGUAGGCGGUCUGUCGCGUCGAAUGUGAAAGCCCAGGGCUCAACCCUGGGUCUGCAUUCGAUACGGGCAGACUAGAGUAUGGCAGGGGAGACUGGAAUUCCUGGUGUAGCGGUGAAAUGCGCAGAUAUCAGGAGGAACACCGGUGGCGAAGGCGGGUCUCUGGGCCAAAACUGACGCUGAGGAGCGAAAGCGUGGGGAGCGAACAGG